rnacentral:rRNA from 1 species
UACGGGGGGAGCAAGCGUUGUUCGGAUUUACUGGGCGUAAAGCGUGCGCAGGCGGUUGUGCAAGACAGAUGUGAAAUCCCCGGGCUCAACCUGGGAACUGCAUUUGUGACUGCACAGCUGGAGUGCGGCAGAGGGGGAUGGAAUUCCGCGUGUAGCAGUGAAAUGCGUAGAUAUGCGGAGGAACACCGAUGGCGAAGGCAAUCCCUGGGCCUGCACUGACGCUCAUGCACGAAAGCGUGGGGAGCAAACAGG